rnacentral:rRNA from 1 species
AGAGCGAACGCUGGCGGCAGGCUUAACACAUGCAAGUCGAGCGGGCGUAGCAAUACGUCAGCGGCAGACGGGUGAGUAACGCGUGGGAACGUACCUUUUGGUUCGGAACAACUGAGGGAAACUUCAGCUAAUACCGGAUAAGCCCUUACGGGGAAAAGAUUUAUCGCCGAAAGAUCGGUUCCGCGUCUGAUUAGCUAGUUGGGUGAGGUAAUGGCUCACCAAGGCGACGAUCAGUAGCUGGUCUGAGAGGAUGAUCAGCCACAUUGGGACUGAGACACGGCCCAAACUCCUACGGGAGGCAGCAGUGGGGAAUAUUGGACAAUGGGCGAAAGCCUGAUCCAGCCAUGCCGCGUGAGUGAUGAAGGCCCUAGGGUUGUAAACCUCUUUUAGUAGGGAAGAAGCGCAAGUGACGGUACCUGCAGAAAAAGCACCGGCUAACUACGUGCCAGCAGCCGCGGUAAUACGUAGGGUGCAAGCGUUGUCCGGAAUUAUUGGGCGUAAAGAGCUCGUAGACGGCUUGUCGCGUCUGCUGUGAAAACCCGAGGCUCAACCUCGGGCUUGCAGUGGGUACGGGCAGGCUAGAGUGCGGUAGGGGAGAUUGGAAUUCCUGGUGUAGCGGUGGAAUGCGCAGAUAUCAGGAGGAACACCAAUGGCGAAGGCAGAUCUCUGGGCCGUAACUGACGCUGAGGAGCGAAAGCGUGGGGAGCGAACAGGAUUAGAUACCCUGGUAGUCCACGCCGUAAACGUUGGGAACUAGAUGUAGGGACCAUUCCACGGUUUCUGUGUCGCAGCUAACGCAUUAAGUUCCCCGCCUGGGGAGU